UGCAUUCAUUUAGAUCGAAAAUAUGAUAUCAGUGAAAUUUAAUUUAAAAAAUCGAUAACUCAUUAACACAUUAUUGCUACACCUACAUGUGUCACCAUAUUAAUCUCCUGUGCUGGAGAAGCAGUUGGCUUCAGCUCUGUGUCCAUAGAUCUUUGUUAGAAGGGAGUUGUUGGUAGGAUAAUCAUGAAAGGAGAGUUAUUGAGGCACCACUUUCUUUCUUCCGAGACUGUGGCCCCAGGUCAUAUGGAUUCUUCUCUUUGGGCCAGGCAAGGCUGAAGAGUACCCAGUCCGUGGGAAACAAUCAGCCAUGAAACUUCUAACUAGCACCCACAGUUCUGGGACACAGCCCAGGAAUUCCAUCAGUAAAGCAGCACACCUGGAUAUUAGUCCUGUUCCUGCUGUUGUAUCUCAAUAACCAACAUCGGCUUCGGCUCAAUAUCUGCCUGAUUCUGCUCUGGCACCAAGGGACCGACUGAGAUGUGUCAGAUGGUGUGACUGAAGCGGGACAGAUGGGAGAAGGAGCAACAGUGACUACUGGAAACCAUCCAAAUGUUUAAAUGAGAAGUGAGCUGGAGAAAGAACGUUUCUGAAAAUGCAUUUAUUCCUUGGUGACUGUCCAGCUCCAGUCCUACUACGACCAAUGCCACAGGUGGCCUCUCCAGGUGUCUCCUCCAUCCCCUUAGAGCUCUCUUCUAAAGAACCAGUGUGUUAUGGACAAGAUAUGACACAAGUUUUCAAACCAAAACACCUAUUUGGAAGAUGACAGUUAAAAAUCCAUUUGUAAUGAAAAGGACUGAUUUAAGAUUCCCGUGGGAAAUGAGAAAUUCAGCUUGAAUUCUGAUUUCAGUGGAUAAGCACAAGGACCUACUUCUGCACAUACUGAACUUGAGCCAGGCCCUGGCUGUGCAGGGGGGAACUCUCCAGUAAAUCUUUAAGUCAUUCCAGGUGAUGUGACAGCAAAACAGUCCUAACGGUUUUCUUCAGUGACUCCACCUAAUCCAUAAUGGAAUAGAUUGGAGGGACCCAAUCUCGGGCACUUCUGGCUGUUUAAUGGGCUGCAGCAAAUGACAGGGGUUGUGUCU